AUGUGUAAACAGUGGCUAUGGUGGCUCAAAGGGAAGCAGCGGCGGCUCCAUGGAAACACGCAACUUAGUGAUGUACUUUUUGUUUCUAGAUUUUGUUCACUCUCAUUAAAUUUUAAGCAAGAAAAUCCACUACCCUGCAAAAAGUUCUUCCAACAAAUAUUUUUGUGUGUGCAGCUAAGAUCAAUCUUCCUAUUCAUUCAUUGCACGCUGUUAUUCUGCAGGACCGGCGAAGUGCAAGGUCAUGUACAAGGGAUAAGCUGGUCAAUGAAGGAAAUUCUAAAAGAAAGCGACUACAAGCAACAUUUGAAGGUACAGCUUGUAUUAUGUUACUUUAGAAAUUAA
rnacentral:rRNA from 1 species